AUGAAGCCAUUCACCGAGCCUUCCGCGUAAAGAGACACAAUAUCUCCAAUGUGAAGGAAGCUGGAUCUGUGCUCUGACAUGUUGCUGAAGUUUAUUUAACUGAAGAUACGCUCAAGACCCGAGAGUGCUCUUCUUCACAUCCACUUCAGGGGGAGGAGACUGAGACUGCUUCUUCUGCUGCUGCUGCUGCUGCUGCUGCUGUCAGGGCUGUGGGCAAAUUCCGUUCAGUGACAUGUUUUUGUUUUUAUUCCGAGCAGGCCCCUCCACAAGAUUACGAGCCACCACACACAGUCACAGAAAGUCGACAGCUGUAGGGGUAGAUAACUGAUAAAUAUAUAGAGGUUCUGCGGGAGAUUAAAAGUAGAGGACAACAGAUGAGGCCAACUUGUUUCCAUUGGAAUACUGCAAGAUAAGACCUAUGAUAUAUGGACAUUAACAUUAAUAUUAAUAUGUCUCGAUAAUUUUUCAUGUAUUUGUGUGUAAAUAGACGACCAGAUAAGAUGAAAUGAGUAACUGUGUGUUGACCCAUAGAGCUCAGUGCUAGAUAAAUAAACUGUGAAAUGAUUUAUUCA